GACGAACGCUGGCGGCGUGCUUAACACAUGCAAGUCGUACGGUAAGGCCCUUUCGGGGGUACACGAGUGGCGAACGGGGGAGUAACACGUGAGUAACCUGCCCACAACUUUGGGAUAACGCUAGGAAACUGGGGCUAAUACUGGAUAUGUGCUCCUGCUGCAUGGUGGGGGUUGGAAAGCUCCGGCGGUUGUGGAUGGACUCGUGGCCUAUCAGCUUGUUGGUGGGGUAGUGGCCUACCAAGGCGGCGACGGGUAGCCGGCCUGAGAGGGUGACCGGCCACAUUGGGACUGAGAGACGGCCCAGACUCCUACGGGUGGCAGCAGUGGGGAAUAUUGCACAAGGGGCGCCAGCCUGAUGCAGCAACGCCGCGUGCGGGAUGACGGCCUUAGGGUUGUAAACCGCUUUCAGCAGGGACGAAGCUUUUUGUGACGGUACCUGCAGAAGAAGCACCGGCUAACUACGUG
rnacentral:rRNA from 1 species